rnacentral:tRNA from 1 species
UAAGAUGAAGUAAAUAGGUUACGAUUCGUUUACAUCGAAUUUUUAGUCCCGACAGAGGGAUCGUCUUAA